rnacentral:rRNA from 1 species
AAUAGAUACCCAGGUAGUCCACGCCGUAAACGAUGAGUACUAGCUGUCGGAGGUUACCCCCUUCGGUGGCGCAGCUAACGCAUUAAGUACUCCGCCUGGGAAGUACGCUCACAAGAGUGAAACUCAAAGGAAUUGACGGGGACCCGCACAAGUAGCGGAGCAUGUGGUUUAAUUCGAAGCAACGCGAAGAACCUUACCUAAGCUUGACAUCCUUUUGACCGAUGCCUAAUCGCAUCUUUCCCUUCGGGGACAGAAGUGACAGGUGGUGCAUGGUUGUCGUCAGCUCGUGUCGUGAGAUGUUGGGUUAAGUCCCGCAACGAGCGCAACCCUUGCCUUUAGUUGCCAGCAUUAAGUUGGGCACUCUAGAGGGACUGCCAGGGAUAACCUGGAGGAAGGUGGGGAUGACGUCAAACCAUCAUGCCCCUUAUGCUUAGGGCUACACACGUGCUACAAUGGGUGGUACAGAGGGCAGCCAAGUCGUGAGGCGGAGCUAAUUCCUUAAAGCCAUUCUCAGUUCGGAUUGUAGGCUGAAACUCG